UAGUAACACUGGUUUCCUGGGGUAAACUCGGUCCCUGUGUAGCCGGAGCGUAGGAAGGACGCUUGCAGGGUGAGGACGCCCCCCACACGUGGCUCGCGGGUUCGUCCUGGAGGCGUGCGCGCUGGGGUAGUUAACCCGCAGGCGGAGUGACUAGCCGCUAUUGUUUGGUCCUAGUCCAGCCAAUCAUGUGGUUGGUGAGUCCCCGGGUAUGCAAGGCUAAAACACGUGAAGGACAGAGCCCCUCCCCGGCAAGCUAGUCUUAAGCAAAGGAGUAAGUAAAAAUAGCAUCUGGUAUAUAUUAAAGCUUGGGCAAAACAAGUUGACGAGUAACACUGAUAAUGACAAGGGAAAGCCAACAUAAAAAGUUCUAAGCGCCACGCGCCACUUGCAGGAAAAUUUUAAAAAAAAAGAACGAAGGGAACUACGCGGG
rnacentral:lncRNA from 1 species